GUUAUUUUGCUGUCGACUCCUCAUGCCUCAUUAGUCAUGUUUGACACCUGCACCUAAUACCUUUUCCCUGACAAUGCAGGACAGCUUCUGGCGAGAACAGAUAUCUUGCAGAAGAGCCUCGACGGAAACCUCAGACUGUGUGGCAAAGGCGUGAUACGGGGUCGGGGUCGGCGAGGCUUCCCUCGCCCCAUUCAGGAAACUCUCCUCAUUAACAUUCUCCAAACUUGGCUCCCUUCAAAGACUGUGCACAGAGCUACGUGGAGCUGGGAGAGCGAGUGCCAACAGAAAGGAAAUUAAAAUAGUCUAUAAAGCUUUAAUAUUUAAUUUACGACAAAUCUACGUACCCAACCUCUGUGCGGCAACACGCAAAGCGGCAGAUGAGAAACGUCUAAACACAGGGAAAAGCAUUAUAGAGAUUUUUAUAACGGAGCUUAAAAUUCAUGACUUAUCAAAUUAAUGAAAACCUCAGAUCUGAGAAUUCAAAAUACAUUUUCUUUUCAUUAUAAACUCAUUGCCGGCUAGUCCAACUAACAAGCAGUCUCGAUGCUUUCACAGAGGGGAGGAGACGGUCUGUGUAAGACAAAAAACCAAACACAAGAAGUGUGUUCUUAAAAAGUAGUGUCUCGGUGGUAGUGAAAAUGCUCUCUGCAUUUGGGCUGGUUUUCAAACUGUCUGGUUCCCACACCUGGAUCCUUACAAACACACAGACACGAGCUGGACCUCACUAACUAGUAAACCAGUUCUGGACCUGGAAUGCAGACACCUCCCUGCACUGUUACUAUCUGGAGACAGCUAACUAACUGAUAAACCAGUUCUGGAACUGGAAUGCAGACGCCUCCCUGCACUGUUACUAUGUGGUGACAGUUAACUAACUAGUAAGCCAGUUCUGGACCUGGAAUGCAGACACAUCCCUGCACUGUUACUAUGUGGAGACAGUUAACUAACUGAUAAACCAUUUCUGGACCUGGAAUGCAUACGCCUCCCUGCACUGUUACUAUGUGGUGACAGUUAACUAACUAGUAAUCCAGUGCUGGACCUGGAAUGCAGACACCUCCCUGCACUGUUACUAUGUGGUGACAGUUAACUAACUAGAAAACCAGUUCUGGACCUGGAAUGCAGACACCUCCCUGCACUGUUACUAUCUGGAGACAGUUAACUAACUGAUAAACCAGUUCUGGACCUGGAAUGCAGACGCCUCCCUGCACUGUUACUAUCUGCACCGAUACUAUGGUCUGUUCCGACACAAACAGAUCCACAAAUGGCUGGCAUAGUUGGCUUAACAUGGGACAGUGUAUUGGACCAGAGUCAAGUGUCGCCUUUGGGGACCAAGGUUCCUUCUCUUCCCAAAACGCGUUGAACGGUUUAGUCAGGAUCCACAGUAAAAUAAUGGACAGGCCGCCAGUCUACAGAAGGGAGGCUCCCCGCUCUUCCCCGGGCUCUCCUGCUUCCCGCCCCUCUCCCCGGGGAGCAUUUAGAGAAAUUCGAGGGGCCCCGUUUCAGGUCUCAGGGUGAGGCUGAGAGCUACUAGCGUUUAACUGCAGAGCAGUGCUGCUAAGUGUCUUGUGACAUGUGGGGAGGGCCCCGCCCCCGCCCCCCGCCCAUGCCAAGGACACCCCCGCUGACAAAGGAUGGACAGAGUAUCUGGAGGAAAGGUCGCAUCUUCCUUGGGUGUUCCCUGAAUGCCUUGCUCCCAAAACACAUCCACUUCAGAACAAGCCCAGGCGACCUUGAGAGAGUCCUAUCAGCGCUUUGCCCGAACAGCCCCUCCCAAGUUCGUAAGAGGUUAAUGAACCCUGGGUGGCCCGAGGGGAGAGGAGCCCUUCCUACCACCUGUCACCUGACUCGGGGGCUCCUAUGAAUGGGGCUCUUUGAGAGUCAUGACCUCCCCCGGGAACAGCUUCCAUCACUACAUUUCUGCAGGAGACACGAGACAUUCUUGAGGGCCUGAGUUCUACAGGCACCCUGGGAGCUGUGGGCCAAAGUCCUUCCAACAGAAGGGGACUCUUGCUCCCAUCUGCUCACCUCCCUCGGGACUCUACUCACAGGCUGAGUUCAUUCACUGAUUUCAAACAGAUGUGGUCCCUCUCCUAUUUCAGCAGGACAGAAACAGGGCACCUGACGACCUUGACCGAUAAUACCUUCCACGUGCUGCUGACGGCCUGCUCUGACACAGGAGCUGUAUCCUCGCCCAGCAUCUAGCACCAUCACCAUUAAUACGGAGCUGAGUGAAAAACAGGGGGGGCGAAGGGUGGGUGGGGGGACUGCUCGCGAGCUGCUGAUGAGAAGCACCUGCUGCUGGAGGGCCAAGGGCCCUGCCACGGUGCCAUGUGUGUGAGGUGACAUUCUGACCAGUGGCCGGCUCUGGAACAGAUGCCUCGUUUAGGGACAGGCUGCCUAGCGGUCGGCGUCUGGCAGAUGACGACAGAAUGAGGAGGAUGCUCCCGAGAGGGUGGUGAGAGGGGAAGGUCCCUCCGGGGGACUUCUGUGGUUUUGCCACUUGUGAGUUGGGCUCUGCAAUCUGAUCACGGGCUAAAUAAACAUGGCAUCUCUCGUCCAAAGGGAUUCUUGGGGGAAUUUCUUUUUCUCUGGGUUCUAACUACAGAUUUGAGGCUCUAAUAGGAUCUGACAGGCCAGCCUGUAGACGCGAAGGAAAUGGACCAUCCAUUUAACCCCCCUGUGUCCAUACGAAAACUCAUAAUUCUAGAACAUUCUUCUUGUCUCUGAUGCCAGCGAGUAACCCUGGUAACAACCGUGGUGGUCUGCACGUGUUGAUCAUGUGCCCCGCCCCCGCAAAGGGGCAACAGACAGAAAAACAAACCAAUCACUCAACUCUGCCAGUAUGCUUUUACUUAUUUGUAUACUGUAGGCAUACACCACUAUAUUCAUGUAUUUCUAAAACAUAUACAGAGUGAAUAAACCGGAAGAUAAAAAUAAGUAAAAAAAAGGCAUUCUAGAUUUUUCUCCUCACUUCCCAAAUUAUUUUCGAUCGCACACACUUCGGAAAGCAUCAUUACCGUCUAUUAUCUGCACCCGGCGAAGGGGCAAGAGACUAAGCAUUGCCUGAGUGUUUGAACUUACUGGACAAAUCGGAAGAAAUAAAAAGGCCCGGGAGAAGCACUUAAAAAGGGUUCACGUCUUCCAAGAGUCCCCUUCGGAGCCCGUGGAGUGGUGGGUGAAGAGGAACCGUUCUGGCUUGAAGAGAGCCACAUGUGUUAUUUCCUCUGUUUCUCGCCAUUUCGAGAGAUGUCAGAUGUGGCUGUGAUUUGUAUGCUUUUCUCUCCGUUCCACAUUCUCCAUGUGUUGCUCAUUUUUGCCAUUUGCUUUGGGUUUCAUGCCAUUCUGUCGCAUUUCCCCUGCAUUCCUCUUGCUAGGCGUUUACUCCCACCUCAAGCUGCUGGUUCCUUUCAGAGCAUUUUGUUACAUUAUCCAGACAGAGAAAGUGAGACACUCUUCAAAGCCCAGGGCACAGAGAGGCACCAGAGAACACAUCUUCCAGGCUGAGAUGCGCGUAAGGAGUGAGAGGUGAGUGGGAUUAUUUUUUUUUUUUUUAAGCCCACCCCUAUCCCUGCCAACACGGAGGCUUGGGGAGCAUAUGAGGAGCUGCAGAGGAAGAAAACCUAUGGAUGCUGCGAGGAGGAAUGUGCCAGGACUCCAGACCUCGGGCCAUCUUUAAAACACAGACUCUCUGUCUGCUUUUUGCAGGAGGCUGUGUCUUUGGCUGUCGCCCUCCAUGCUAAUCAGGAAGGAUCAGUACGACAAGGAGCACCCAGGAAGGUUCAGAAAGGGCCCCGCAUUCAGCUCUCUGAGGAACCCAGCACACAGCUGGAGUCCUCCGCAGCACGCCUCGCUGACCCCACCCUGAAAUCGUUCCUGAAAUGACCCUUCUGCCACCAUCACUGAUUUUUUUUUGGUCCUUUUGCCAUUUUCUUGAGCCACUCCUGCGGCAUAUGGAGGUUCCCAGGUUAGGGGUCAAAUCGGAGUGGUAGCCACCAACCUACGCCACAGCCACAGCAACGCAGGAUCCAAGCUGCAUCUGCAACCUACACCACAGCUCACGGCAAUGCCAGAUCCUUAACCCAUGGAGCAAGGCCAGGGAUCAAACCCGCCACCUCGUGGUUCCUAGUCAGAUUCGUUAGCCACUGAGCCACGACGGGAACUCCCACCAUCACUGAUCUUGACCGUAACCUCCCACUUACAUCCAAUCUAGGGGUCUGCAGGCUCACUCUCCUCCACGUGGACGGCGCUACAGCUCGGCUUGACCCUCCCAAGUUAGCCACCUGGUAUCUCCUUCUUCACCUGCCUGACCUCCGAAGGCUUCCCACCCCUGAGAGCCUGAUUCUCUACGUUUCUUUCCCCUGCCCUAACGUAACUAAAGAAGACCAAGGCAUUCCCAUCACUGGCUGUGCCUAAAGUGGGUUCUCUCAUGGGGGUGGGAUAUGGAGCCUUUGACUGUCAAGGGGGCCUCGGAACCUCUGGAGCAGCGGGCCACGGAAAAGGCGCUUUCUCAGUGAGCACGGCAGCCCCUCUGUAGCCUAACCUAAGCUGCUGUGCAAUCUCCUUGCCGGCCUCCUCCUCGUCCAGCCUUCUUCCCACCUGUUCCCCGUCUCCAGCGGAGGAGGACUGCACGCUGUGCUCAGAGAGGCCUUUUAACCCCCGUCCCUUUGCACAUGCUGCGCCCUUGGUGUGGAGUGCCCCUAACCACUCCCACACCUUGCUGGGCUCUCUCAAGCGUUGCCUCUCGCCUGUGAAGGAAAAGCACUUCUCCCUGCUCCUUUCCUCCUGCACAACCGGAUCCUCCCCUGGGGUCUCUCGGUCUGGUGUCUGUCCUGACACACUCAUCCCAGCACACAAGAGCUGUUCAUGCACCCGCCCUGAGCCUGCGUGUCCAGAGAACAGGGACUCAGCUCACCCAUAUCUGUCAAGGUGGCAGCCAGCUCGGUGCCUGGCAAGACUCCAGAUGACAGAACUGAACUGUAAGGGAGCUGCUGCUGGAAGCCGAGCUGCCCUCCAAGCCCUCCUCCUCCGCACCCCGAGCCUUGGGGCGGCCUCUCACCUCCUCACCGCCCCUGGCCUUCUCCCCGGCCAGCUCCUGCCGGGGCUCUGGGACGGUGGCAGCAGUGAUUUACAACUGCAUUUAGCUGAAUCUAAUCAGAAGUGUGAAUACUCCCCUCCUAUCUGGCAUACAUCAUCGGAGCUCUAAUUAUUCACACAUUUUGGCAAGCGUUCUGGUGUUCCCCUACCAAGCUCCUAAUCCCAGCAGAUCAGUUAAAAUAAAUGAAAGAGAGAAUCAAAAGGCACUUUAAAAAUUCAACUGUUCUCCAAAUGAGUUUGAACAGACUCCAGAUAACUAGUGGUUGCAGCUGACUGGCAUUUAAAAUAUAAGAACCCUUCUGCCCGCCCCUGCCCCAAGUCCCUUGCUUUACCGAUUCAUCUGAUAGGAACGCGAUUCUCUCCUAUUUAAGAGAAACACUUGCGAUCAGGGCCCAAACGUGUUUUCAUUGAUCUGCACUAAACACCAAGAAAAUCAAGUCACCACCCCAAGAGCCAAUGGAGGCCAGAGCAAUUCUGCUUUUUCCACCC
rnacentral:lncRNA from 1 species